UUCCAAUGAAUAUUCAGGACUGAUUUCCUUUAGGAUGUAUUGAUUGCCUGGCUUGAUCUCAUUGCUGUGCAAGGCUCUCUGAAGUGUCUUCUC